rnacentral:rRNA from 3 species
UACGGAGGGUGCAAGCGUUGUCCGGAUUUAUUGGGUUUAAAGGGUGCGUAGGUGGCCUGGUAAGUCAGUGGUGAAAUACAGCCGCUCAACGGUUGAGGUGCCAUUGAUACUGCCCGGCUUGAAGCAGACAGAGGCUGCCGGAAUGGAUGGUGUAGCGGUGAAAUGCAUAGAUAUCAUCCAGAACACCGAUUGCGAAGGCAGGUGGCUAUGUCUGACUUGACACUGAGGCACGAAAGCAUGGGGAGCAAACAGG